GCUUGCUUCAGCAGCAUAUACUAAAAUUGGAACAAUACAGAGAAGAUUAGCAUGGUCCUUGCACAGGGAGGACAUGCAAAUUCGUCAAAUGUUCCAUGUUUUU
ensembl:snRNA U6 U6 spliceosomal RNA